rnacentral:rRNA from 1 species
CAAAACAUGGCUUCUCGAGUUUAAUUCAUGCGAAGUCGUACCUGCCCAGUGAAGUUUUAACGGCCGCGGUACUCUGACCGUGCAAAGGUAGCAUAAUAAUUUGCCUUAUAAUUGAAGGCUGGAAUGAAUGGUUUGUCAAGGAUAAAACUGUCUCUAUAAAAUUUUAUAGAAUUUUAUUUUUAGGUGAAAAAGCCUAAAUUUUAUUAAAAGACAAGAAGACCCUAUCGAGCUUUAAAAAACUUAAUAAAUAUUUAUAUCUAUUUAGAAAUUUAGUUAUAAAAAAUUUUGGUUGGGGCAACCUGGGAGUAAAUAAAGCCUCCUGUUUUAAGAAUAACUGUCUUGUUAGGAUCCAAAAAUUUUGAUCAAAAGAAAUAGUUACCGUAGGGAUAACAGCAUUAUUUUUUUUGAGAGCUCUUAUCGAAAAAAAAGUUUGUGACCUCGAUGUUGGAUCAGAAUAUCCUGAAGAUGUAGAAGUCUUCAAGGGUUGGUCUGUUCGACCAUUAAAAUUCUACGUGAUC